rnacentral:lncRNA from 12 species
CGGUAGCACAUAUGGAAGUGCCAUUUGGCCUGAGUAGCACCUGGACUACCAGUAACACCACUGCCAUUGAAAGAAUGAUCUUAGUUCUCUCUAUGAGAAUGAACUUCUCAAGAAAAGUGAAAAGGAAAUCAAUAAGGGUAACAGCAUCACCUGUUUUGAGAAAAAAUGCUUCUGAAUUCUUCCCUGUUAACGCACUUUACGAGGAUUUUGCAAGCAUUCAGUGCAGAGAACCCAAACAUUUUAUUCUGGCAAGGGAAGCUUUAUAGAAAUAUUUGCAAUAUUUUGUGCUAAUCCCUCCACAAGUCACUUUGGUGUGGCAAAUAUUUGUUCAAGCAGACUUUACUACAGUUACAGAGUACAUCAAUCUGUUGUUUUAACCUUUAGAAAAUAACCCUGUGUCUUCUCGAAGGAAAUAAAGAGUCAUUGAUG